CCGGCUGCUGCUCUAAGAUGGCGGAGACAUGUAGGAGUCAGCGUCUCAGUUUCCAGAACAGGAUACACCAGUGUUUCUCUGAGGAUGGUGCGACCAUGUAGGCUGAGCUUUGCCAAGAGGACUUUAUCUUCCUGGGUCGGCACCCUGUCCAGUUCAGCGCUGCACAUCCUGUUGAAGUGAAUAUACCCAGAACCUGCGGUUCCUCCUGGCUCAGUGUUGGUCUGUGGUGCUGUGAGCUGAGGUAGUAGUUUGUAUAGUUUGGGAUCACACCAGAUCUAGGAGAUAACUAUACAGUCUACUGUCUUUCUCACGGCUACCUUACUGCAGCGUGGACGGAGAGAAAGGGGAAAACCCGCAUGCUCCAGUGUAACGUCCAGCAUGGGUCAUAUCCAGGUGUGGCUUGGUUGUGCUGAGGUAGUAAGUUGUGUUGUUGUAGGGAUUUGGUAUGUUAUGCCCUUUUUUGGAGAUAACUAUACAUCUUACUGCCUUUCAUGCCGGAGUCCUGAACCACAGCAGUUAUUAGAAACUGUUCUUAUUUUAUUAUAAAUCACUUCUGAAUGUUUUCUCUUGUCUGUUCCUCAAAAAGUAAUUUCAAUAAACUGAGUGCUUUUUCUGAAGUUUGUCUUUCCUUUUUAUUCUAAAAUUGUCAUGUUUAUUGUAAGUUUUAAUCCAUCAGAAAAAAUGUCUGUGUAGCGGCAUAGAUCUGGAUCAUUCAUUCAUUUGUUCAAUUUUCAGUAAGCAUGGUCAGGUUCACACCUUCAGCAGCAGAGCUUAUCCUGGGAACACUGGGCAUGAGCCAGGAACCAGUCCAUCACACACCAGCAUGCACACACACACACACACACACACACACACACCAAUUCACCUACUGGUGAUAUUUUGGGUGAUGGGAGGAGACUGGAGAACCCACAUGGGCAUGAGGAGAACGUGUGAAACUGAUACUCAUAUCAUGAUCAAGCCAUGGUGCUGUGAGUCAGCAACAUCUGCGCAGAGUGACUUGCUGUAUUGUAGAGGAAAAAUUUUUUUUAGAUAUUCCACCUCCUCCUGUCUUAUUUUAAGUUGUCUUUAUCACAUAUACAUUACUGCACAGUGAAGUUCUUUUUUCACAUAUCCCAUCCCUGGAGGGUUGAGGUCAGAGCGCAGGGUCGGCCAUGAUGCAGCACCCUGGAGCAAGGGGGGUUGGGGGCCUUGCUCAAGGGCCCAACAGUGGCAGCUUGGCAGUGCUGGGGCUUCAACCCUGAUCUUCCGGUCAACG